UGGGGAAUCUUGCACAAUGGGCGAAAGCCUGAUGCAGCAAUGCCGCGUGAGUGAUGAAGGCCUUCGGGUUGUAAAUCUCUGUCGGUUGGGAAAAACGCAUUUUUAUUUAAUAAAUAAAGGUGGUGAUGGUACCAGCAAAGGAAGGGGCGGCUAACUCUGUGCCAGCAGCCGCGGUAAUACAGAGGCCUCGAGCGUUGUUCGGAAUUACUGGGCGUAAAGGGAAUGUAGGCGGUGACGUAAGUCAGAUGUGAAAGCCCUGGGCUUAACCCGGGAAGUGCAUUUGAUACUGCGUUGCUAGAGUGCGAGAGAGGAGAGCGGAAUUCCAGGUGUAGGGGUGAAAUCCGUAGAUAUCUGGAGGAAUACCGAUGGCGAAGGCAGCUCUCUGGCUCGCAACUGACGCUGAGAUUCGAAAGCAUGGGUAGCAAACAG
rnacentral:rRNA from 1 species